UACGAAGGGGGCUAGCGUUGCUCGGAAUCACUGGGCGUAAAGCGCACGUAGGCGGAUCUUUAAGUCAGGGGUGAAAUCCCAAGGCUCAACCUUGGAACUGCCUUUGAUACUGGGGAUCUCGAGUCCGGAAGAGGUUGGUGGAACUGCGAGUGUAGAGGUGAAAUUCGUAGAUAUCGCAAGAACACCAGUGGCGAAGGCGGCCAACUGGUCCGGUACUGACGCUGAGGUGCGAAAGCGUGGGGAGCGAACAGG
rnacentral:rRNA from 1 species